rnacentral:rRNA from 1 species
UACAGAGGUCCCAAGCGUUGUUCGGAUUCAUUGGGCGUAAAGGGUGCGUAGGCGGCGCGGUAAGUCGGGUGUGAAAUCUCGGGCUUAACUCCGAAACUGCAUUCGAUACUGCCGUGCUUGAGGACUGGAGAGGAGACUGAAUUUACGGUGUAGCGGUGAAAUGCGUAGAUAUCGUAAGGAAGACCAGUGGCGAAGGCGGUCUCGUGGACAGUUCCUGACGCUGAGGCACGAAGGCCAGGGGAGCAAACGGG